rnacentral:misc_RNA from 1 species
UUUCCGUAGGUGAACCUGCGGAAGGAUCAUUAUCGAGUUAGGGUCUUCUAGGCCCGAUCUCCAACCCUUUGUAUAACUACCAUGUUGCUUUGGCGAGCCCGUCUUUAACCGGACCGCCGGAGGUGUUAUAGCCUCUGGCCCGAGCUCGUCAGUAGCCCACAUAAAUUCUUUUAACCAUGUUAAAUCUGAAACUAGUUAAAUAAACUAAAACUUUCAACAACGGAUCUCUUGGUUCUG